rnacentral:misc_RNA from 1 species
GAUGAAGAACGCAGUGAAAUGCGAUAAGUAAUGUGAAUUGCAGAUUUCAGUGAAUCAUCGAAUCUUUGAACGCACCUUGCGCCUUGUGGUAUUCCACAAGGCAUGCCCGUUUGAGUAUCAUUAAAUCAUCAACUCUAAAACCUUUGUGGUUUUUUUAGAGCUUGGUCUUGAGGGUUUUGCAGGCUUUUUUUUUUCGAGUCUGCUCCCUUUAAAUGCAUUAGCGAGACUUCCCUAUGCUGAACCGUCUCUUUGACGUGAUAAUUAUCUGCGUCGAAUUUUGGUUCUCGUUGGGCUUGCUUCUAAUCGUCUGUUAAAGACAAAACGGAUUUGGGUGCAUAUAUGCGCCUUUUUCCAAAACCUUUUUUGAUCUCAAAUCGGGUAGGACUACCCGCUGAACUUAAGCAUAUCAAUAAGCGGAGGA